AAAUUGAAGAGUUUGAUCAUGGCUCAGAUUGAACGCUGGCGGCAGGCCUAACACAUGCAAGUCGAACGGUAACAGGAAACAGCUUGCUGUUUCGCUGACGAGUGGCGGACGGGUGAGUAAUGUCUGGGAAACUGCCUGAUGGAGGGGGAUAACUACUGGAAACGGUAGCUAAUACCGCAUAACGUCGCAAGACCAAAGAGGGGGACCUUCGGGCCUCUUGCCAUCGGAUGUGCCCAGAUGGGAUUAGCUAGUAGGUGGGGUAACGGCUCACCUAGGCGACGAUCCCUAGCUGGUCUGAGAGGAUGACCAGCCACACUGGAACUGAGACACGGUCCAGACUCCUA
rnacentral:rRNA from 1 species